UAAGAUUUUAAGUUAAUUAAACUAUAUACCUUCAAAGUAUAAAAUAUUCUGUAAUAAAUCUUAG
rnacentral:tRNA from 1 species